GACCAAGGAGUCUAGCAUGUGCGCGAGUCAUUGGGAUUAACUAAACCUAAAGGCGCAAUGAAAGUGAAGGUUCGCCUCGCGCGAACCGAGGGAGGAUGGACGCGCGAUAAAAACGCGUCCCGCACUCCCGGGGCGUCUCGUUCUCAUCGCGAGAAGAGGCGCACCUAGAGCGUACACGCUGGGACCCGAAAGAUGGUGAACUAUGCUUGGUCAGGACGAAGUCAGGGGAAACCCUGAUGGAGGUCCGUAGCGAUUCUGACGUGCAAAUCGAUCGUCGGAACUGAGUAUAGGAGCGAAAGACUAAUCGAACCAUCUAGUACGUGGUUCCUUCCGAA
rnacentral:rRNA from 1 species